rnacentral:lncRNA from 1 species
GGAAAUUCUUUUCACGUCUCAGGUUUGUCUGACCUGAGAAUGAAGGUUGCUGCUCCAGCCACCUGGAGGAGUAGAAUGGUUCCAGAAGAAGAAGAAAGAGAACUUCCCCCACUCCUGCCAUCUGCUUAAGCUCGGAUUGUUCGCCGGAGGAACAUGCACGCUACUGUUAACAUUUUCUGUAUACACAGUAGUGCUUGAUGUUUGAAGAAUGAACGAAGGAGCGAAACCAAUCAUUGACCCCCCCCCCCCAGUCCCCUUAAUUUCUGAGGUUUGUUUAUGUAACUGGCUUCCCGCCUCAGCAGGUCCCAACUGAGAGCAAAGAAAGCGGACUGUUCCUGACGAGAAAUGGUGAGGGGAGGGAGGUCUGAAACAGGGAUCUUUAACCUGGAACUCCCUUCGAUACUCCUGCCUCAGCCUUGAGUACUGGGCUUACAGGUGUGGGCCACCAUGCCUGGUUUUAACUUGGCCUUUUAGACUUGUCUCUGUGAAGAAUCUAGGGUUGUUGAUUCAGGCCUAUUUUUCCACUGCUACCUCUAAGGUCAGGUUUGAAUAAAGACCCAUUAUAGUAUUUAUAUUUUAGCUCUUAAGCAAAUUCCUUAAACGCUAUUCCUGUAUAUGAUGGGAAUAAUAGCAUCUAACUAAGAGCUGUGGAACAGAUUGAGAUAAUUUACAUAAAGCAUUUAGUGUAAGAGUUCAUGGUAAGAACUCAGUAAAUCUUAUUUACUAUUUUGUACAACAGAGAUAAUAAACUCCAUGGUACAGUGGUGGCAGUUGCUCUGAAGGUUAAAUGUAACUCGUUCAGUAUUGUUUAUUCAUUCAAAUCACCAUCGGUCAUCUUAUGUGUAACCCCCUUGCUAGAUACGUGACCUGGUCCUCAGUGGGCCACCAAUAAUGAUCACUAUUAGUUAAAAUUAACUUGGGCUGAUGUGGUGGCACACACCUGUAGUCUGAGCACUUCAGGAGACUGAGGCAGGAAGACCGCACAUUCAAACCCAACCUGGGUGACUAAAUGACAGUGAGAUCCUGUCUACCUGUUUAGGAAUAAAAAAUUAGGUCUGUGUGUGGAGAUGCAUGCCUGUAAUCUCAGCUCUGGAAGACUGAGGCAGGAGGAUGAAAGUUUUAACCAGCCUGGGAAAUUUAGUGACUUAGUGAGAACUUGUCUCAAAAAUAAAAAAGGUCUGGGCCUCGGAUGUAGCUCAGUGCCUACCUAGCAAGGGCAAGGUCCUGCGUUCAAUCCCUGGUGCCACAAAAAAAUUUUUUUCAAUAAAGGACAGAACAUGUAGCAGUGCAGACUCUGGGUUCAAUCCCAACUACCAUAAUAAAUAAACAAAAAUGUUCGUAAAAGGACUGGGGAUGUAGCUCAAUGUGAAGGCCCUAUGCUUAGUCUCCAUUACCUAAAUAAAUAAGUAAAUAAAUAUAAAAUAAUAAAGUUGGUCAUUUGCAAAGCCAUCUUUCACUUUUGAAGAUGUGCUUCUCUUUGUUUUAGUCAGUGCAUUGGGAAAUCAUUAAUACCAGUUUUGGGAGAAGAUAUGAAAAGUAUCUUCAUGUCAUGUGCCAGUCUGUGUACUGGCCACUUUUGUAUGCAUUGCUUACCAGCAGGAACAAGACGUGAUCAAUAGCCCAAAGGAAUGCUUUUUAGAUUGUUCUAAAUCCCACCACCAAGACAAGUCACCAAAACAUUCACACUACCUUUGGUGGUCCCCAUGCCAUGGCAUUUUAGGACACUUUUGUACCCUCCACCUUUUAUUUUGGCCAUGCUGGGGAUUAGACCCAGGAACUUCACACUGACCUGCAUCUCCAAACCCUUUUUAUUUUUUAUUUUGAGAUAAGGUGCUGGUCUGGGCUUGAACUUUGCAUUCUCCUGGCUCAGCCUCCCAGAGGGCACUUUUAUGCCCUUUUUAACAGUGCAUUUAUUGCUUUUUUUUCUCUUACCACGUUGUUGACAAUCUUACCAGCUGUUUUAGAAAUUGUCCUGCUCUGGGCGGAGCUCUGAGUCUUCAGCUGUGAAACAGUGUGAUCCUACAGUGACACUCAGAUCCUUGGAGUCUUCUAGUCUGCCCUAGAGGUCGCCCUGAACUCAAGUGGCUUUGCCCCUCCCCUCUCCUGGUGCCUGGACUUUCCAAGGGACACAAUUUCCAGUGAACUUGAAACUACAGUCUGAAAAAAAUCAUAUGCAAAAAAUGAGGCUCCUUGCUGCUGCAGGAUUCAGAAAGAACCGUGCAUCUUGGAAGACAUUUCAGGAACCUCCAGGAAAACCCAGAGACAACAGAGAGACAGAAACAAGGACAGCAGAGGUUUGUGACAGUUAAGCUGGACUAUUGACUUUUUUCACUUGAGAGCUGCCAGAAGCUGCCAUGAAUUAAGCAGCUGUGCUCCAUCACGUCCCUUCACCAAAAUGUUUUUGCCUGAAAGUCAACCAGUCAUAGGUCAAACCCACUGAAACUCCAGCCAUGAAGGUUUUCAAAGCUAAGUGUAGGUUAAUUUGUUUAUUUUUCUUUAUAAUUUUUGUAUUAUGUUACAGUAUUGUAAUCAUUUUUAUAUGGAUAUUUUUGGGUUGUGGAACAUUUCAUCAUUAUUUCUUAUGGGAAAAUUUGCAGUGAUAGACAAGUGCUUUGGAUUACAAGCAUUCUUCUGGAAUAAAUUAUGCCCACAAACCAAAGUUUUAGUGUACUUUGAACUGGGAAAAAAGAAAGAGCCAUCUCAAGGCAUCUCAGGAGUGAGCAAGACACCACCCAUUGCAAGCUGGCAUGUACAAAAGUAUAAUCCUUUCAUCUGAGAAGAAAUGAGUCUUUUGCUUGAGAAGGAUCAUCUAGAGGAUCUGCUCCUUAGGACUCAUUUCACCAUGCACAGCCAUGUAGGCACUCAGAAGCCACUGAAACCAUGGUGCAAGGGGUCUUGGCUACUGCUCAAGCUGGUGCUAGAUCUUGGUAUCAUCCACGUGAUGCUGGUUUUCCUGGCAUUCAGAAUGUAAGAGUUAG